AUUGAACGCUGGCGGAAUGCUUUACACAUGCAAGUCGAACGGCAGCACGGGGCAACCUGGUGGCGAGUGGCGAACGGGUGAGUAAUACAUCGGAACGUGCCCAAUCGUGGGGGAUAACGUAGCGAAAGUUACGCUAAUACCGCAUAUUCUGUGAGCAGGAAAGCAGGGGAUCGCAAGACCUUGUGCUUCAGGAGUGGCCGAUAUCGGAUUAGCUAGUUGGUGAGGUAAAGGCUCACCAAGGCGACGAUCCGUAGCGGGUCUGAGAGGAUGAUCCGCCACACUGGGACUGAGACACGGGCCCUACUCCUACGGGAGGCAGCAGUGGGGGAUUUUGGACAAUGGGCGAAAGCCUGAUCCAGCGACGCCGCGUGGAGGACGAAGCCCUUCGGGUGUAAACUCCUUUCUCAGGGAAAAGGAUGAUGGUACCUGAGGAAUAAGCCCCGGCUAACUACGUG
rnacentral:rRNA from 1 species